UACGAAGGGGGCUAGCGUUGCUCGGAAUCACUGGGCGUAAAGGGUGCGUAGGCGGGUUUCUAAGUCAGAGGUGAAAGCCUGGAGCUCAACUCCAGAACUGCCUUUGAUACUGGAAGUCUUGAGUUCGGGAGAGGUGAGUGGAACUGCGAGUGUAGAGGUGAAAUUCGUAGAUAUUCGGAAGAACACCAGUGGCGAAGGCGACUCACUGGACACGUAUUGACGCUGAGGUGCGAAAGCGUGGGGAGCAAACAGG
rnacentral:rRNA from 1 species